CUAGCCGUAACCCUAAAUAGGCAUGCUAACCCCCCCUAUUCGCCAGAGAAUUACACGUGAAAAGCUUAAAACUCAAAGGACUUGACGGUAACCCAAACCAGCCUAGAGGAGCCUGUCCUUUAAUCGAUAAUCCACGAUUCACCUCACCCCCUCAAACCUAUUUAGCCUAUAUACCGCCGUCGCCAGCCUACCUAAUGAUAGAGUAAAAGUAGGUACAAUAGUCCCACCCACUAAAACGUCAGGUCAAGGUGUAGCUAAUGUGGGGGGAAGAGAUGGGCUACAUUUUCUAUACCCUAGACCCCACCGUAGGUUCCAUGAAACUUAAACUGAAAGGCGGAUUUAGCAGUAAGAACUGACAAGAUUUGUCUAACUGAAACCUGCUCUGGGUUGC
rnacentral:rRNA from 1 species